AGUGGCGGACGGGUGAGUAACGCGUGGGUAACCUGCCUCAUACAGGGGGAUAACAGUUAGAAAUGACUGCUAAUACCGCAUAAGACCACAGAGCCGCAUGGCUCGGUGGGAAAAACUCCGGUGGUAUGAGAUGGACCCGCGUCUGAUUAGGUAGUUGGUGGGGUAACGGCCUACCAAGCCAACGAUCAGUAGCCGACCUGAGAGGGUGACCGGCCACAUUGGGACUGAGACACGGCCCAA
rnacentral:rRNA from 1 species